rnacentral:lncRNA from 1 species
GGAGAAGCUCUGUGGGAGUGCAGGAAUGAAGAGGACAUUUUAGCAGUGAUGUUUCAGGUGAAUGAUUUUAGCCAUCACUUAAGUCUGCUUUUGUCUUCUGCUUGAAGAUAUAAACUAAAAAUCAUAAAUAGGAAAACCAAAUAAGGGGUGCUAACUUUGUUGUUGCUUUCCAUUUGCAAUCAGCUUUACUAACCUGAAAACAACUGCUUUCCAGAACAAAUGGGGAAUUGUUUCACAUUCUGUUAGGAAUGUUUUAUGGAAUGCAAUGCCCCUUUUGGCUCAGUGAACUUGCCUAAUAAAUAUUUGUUGAAUUCCUAUCAGUUUUGGUACCAUGCCAAGUGUUUAUAGUCGGAGCCAAUGUACAUUUUCCUGGAAACUAGUCACUUAUAGGAAUAAGAAAUUUGUC